UAUUGUUUAGUGAUGAAAUAUUAUUCAAGCUGUUUUUUAUCUAGUUUUUAAAGAAAAUAAUUUGUGGUGGGUUCAUUAGGUUGUUGGUUUGGGAUUAGCUAAACUAAGAGUUGUGGUAUAUGUAAGAUAUUGGUUAGGUUGUUGGUGAAAUUAAUAAUAUUUAUUGUUAUUGUGUUAUAAUAUGAUAAGGUUUAUGAGGUUAGUUUUUAGCAUUACUUUUAGUACUUAAAAGAUAUUUUUAGCGGUGUUUUGUUUUGCUAUAAUGGUUAAAUUAGUAAUAGAAGAAUUAAGUAAUAGCGAGGUGAAGGAUGUUAUUUUGGAGUGAUUUUUAGUUUUUAUUUUGGUUGUUGAAUUCGGCAAAGUGUUUUUUGACUGUUUAGCAAAUACAUUGUUUUUUGUUGUGAUAAAAAGUAUUGUCUGUCCACUGCUUAUUGGUAAAGGACUGCAGUAUUUUGACUGUAUUAAGGUAGCAUAAUCAUUAGUUUUUUGAUUAGGAACUGGGAUGAAGGUAAAACAGGGAAUAACUUUAAAUAUGUAUAUAGAAUGAAUUUUAUUAUUGGGUGAAAAAGCUUAGUUAAGUAAAAGGGACAAGAAGACCCUAAUGAGCUUUAGUUUUUGUCUUCUGGGGUUAGAAUUUAAUUAUUGGCUAAAUUAUGAUUACUGGGGGGUUUGAUAAUUUUGAUUGGGGCGAUUAGUUAUAAACUUAAUUAAUAUUUUAAUUUU
rnacentral:rRNA from 1 species